AAAAACCCUUUAUUUCAAUAGUGUACAGUACCAUUCAUUCUCACAGACAUACAAUAUGUAACAUGGUUCCCAUCAUGUGAGAAUAGUGUAUCAGGUCAAUAGUAGAGAGGGCAACAGAAAAGUAUCUUCAUCACAGUACCACCCUUAUUGAAAGAAAUAUGAAUUUCACAUAGCAAUCUGCACAAAGAUGCCUUGAAAGUAGCCUGUGAGACUCUCAACCUCAUGGGUAGAGUUGCCUUACAGGCUGCUUUCAAGAAGUGUAAAUCCCAUCACUUUAAAAAUUAACAAGUUUGGAGGAACAAAAUGACAAUUUCUUACAGUAUUGUCAGUAGAUACAUUUACCUAUAUCACUCACUGCUUUGUGUGUGUGUGUGUGUGUGUGUGUGUGUGUAUAUUCUUGCCAUUGCUUUAAUGAAUAAAUAAUUCAUAAUCGUGGUAACUUGGGUCACGUACUGUACAUUGUGUGUUUUUGAAUAUUGUUAAUAUUAUAAUAAUUAUGUCUCAAAGAAAUGGGAUAAUCAACAUAAUUAAAUUGUGUAUCAAUGUGUGUAUGUUUCCAUUAGAUCUUAAAAUGUAAAAAUAAAUAAACAAAACAGUGCACUCCAGUCAAAUUUACCUUAAAAUAAUACAUACAAUAUAUACAAGAAAUAUUAAAAAGUAAUGAUAAAUACAGAAACUGUCAUUUUUAAAGCCCUGUUCCCAAAAUGUACAGUUUAAGGCAAAAAAAAAACUAUUUUAUUAGCGUUUGUAUCUUCGUCAUUCAACAUUUUCUUUUUCUCUUAAAACCACCAUCUCCGAGUCUUGGUCAAGACGAUCAAAAACUACAAACAUGGAGACAGUGAAAUGGGCUUUUAGUUGAGAAGCCCACCAUAACCGUAGUUCAUAACAUAGACACAAUGAAAGACAUAGCAGUUGAUGUAACCAGUUGAUAAAACUAAAAAUAGAAAUUGUUGGUUACAAGUCUAACCGUUGAAAUACAUUUAAAAAUAUAUCUCAGUUGUGGAUGAAUCAACUGUAUUGCUGUUGAGUAAACUGCCUGAACUCAACAACAAAAACGGCAGUUACCCAACGGAGUGUAGUAUACUGAGAUGAAAUAAAAUGAUAAAACAUCUCGCCUCAUAACAGAACGGCGUAACAGGUUUUCCUUAAAAGGUGAAUUUAACAGUUGUAAAACUGCAGUAGGCUAAUGUGUCAAUGUGAUUGUGUAAUAAAUGUUCUAGGUUUUAUGGGCAAUGAAUUCCUUGACUGUUUGUCACACACUAACAGACACCACUUUCACAAUGGUAAUACCAAGUCAGUUUUUUUCAAUCCCUUUGGUGCAAUUUUCACAAGUCUGUGGUAUAUUUUCACAACUCUAAGCACAGAAAUCUAAAACAGAUCAUCAAAAUGGCUCAUAUUUCAAAACUCUAAGCACAUUUUCCAUUGACUGAGCACCAAACAAAUUCAGUGUCACUUGUUCACUGCACCGAAUCACUCUUUCAAUUCGAAUGCAUAUUCAUUAUAAGUAUCUGCUUUUCAAAACGCAAUAUUCACUUUACUUUUGAUAUGAUUUUGUCAAUUGCAAACAAUACAAUUAACUAUUACUUAAUCAAACUGCUCACUACUGAACCAACAUGAUGUAGUGCCUAGCUAACGUGUAUAGCUUGAUAACGGCUGAACACUGUCAAUUUCAAAUCAUGUAUGGAUGUGGCUUUAAAUACUACAUCCUCCUUCUCCAUCAGCCGGUGUGCUUCAAUAGGACAAAGUGGAAAGACUCCCUAUGUGCUACCAUUAUAGCGUAGUGUACAAUGCACUGCUGAAAUACCUAGGAUUAUACAGUAUAUAACAAUACAUUCCAGCCAGUAUCUGAAUUUCAUUGAUACAUUAAGCUGAUGAACUUCAAGCAGAGAGACAGGUGAUACUGUGUCAGUUGACAAGUCAUGUAGAAAAGGUGAUAUUGUACAAUUAUCCAUGGGGCAGAAAUGGAAUACAACACCGUGGUACGUUUUUACCGUAGCCGACUGGUUUACAAUACCACUAUAUCUGAUUAUUUGACCUACGUACUGUAUGUACUGUAGUACUGUAUAAGGAUAAUGAAACUAAAAUUGUGCAUGUCAAGUUAGUCAAAUUCUGUAUGGAAAAAGAUAUUUACAAUCUACUAUUCUUUCUAACCAGCACUUCAAAAAUAACAGUUUUUACAAUGUCUAUCUUGUAUUCUUUGCUAUUGGAUUCAAUGUUAGUUCAAAUUACUAAAUGGUGAGCCUAUCAUUAUCUGAUGUAUUGGCGACUAAACUAAAUGUUGUAUUUUAUGGAAAACUUUGAUUUGGCAUGAAUGACCCUGGGGUGAAAGAUGUGUGCAACCUCAAUGAAUACACAAUCAAAGGUUCUGAACAUAAGACAGGAGGCAUUACACGUGUUAUCAGUUUAGAGUUUUGUACAUAGAGCUUAGAAAAUAUACCACUUACAUCUGAAAAAUGUGCCUAAGUGAUAAAAAAAAAAAAAAAAAUGUAAAUAGAUUACACUGCACCUGGAGUGGUGAAUGGAAAGGGAAUCGAUAGCUGUGGGUGUCCCUGCUGUCUAAAGAAGCUUCAGGUAAAUUCUGUUCUGUUCAAAGAUGCUGUGUCACACCAGCAAACUGACUUGGUCACAGAUUCUCUCACAGAUUCUCUCCAAAAAUCACAGCUUGUUCGCCAAAGACAUUAAUACCUGUGUGUAUCUUACACUAGUUAGAUCGUCAACCAAUAAUAACAUUCUGGUACUCAGUGGCCUCAGUGGUAUU
rnacentral:lncRNA from 1 species